GACGAACGCUGGCGGCGUGCCUAAUACAUGCAAGUCGAACGCAGUGGGGACGGGUGAGUAACACGUGGGUAACCUCCCAUCAGAGGGGAUAACACUUGGAAACAGGUGCUAAACCGAUACUGAUGGAUGGACCCGCGGUGGAUUAGCUAGUGGGUGAGGUAACGGCGAACCAAGGCCACGAUGCAUAGCCGACCGGAGAGGGUGAUCGGCCACACGGGGACUGAGACACGGCCCAGACUCCUACGGGAGGCAGCAGUAGGGAAUCGUCGGCAAUGGACGAAAGUUUGACCGAGCAACGCCGCGUGAGUGAAGAAGGUUUUCGGAUCGUAAAACUCUGUUAGUAGGGAAGCGGUACCUAAAGAGAAAGCCACGGCUAACUACGUGCCAGCAGCCGCGGUAAUAC
rnacentral:rRNA from 1 species